rnacentral:rRNA from 1 species
AGCAGUAGCCGCGGUAAUACGAAGGGGGCUAGCGUUGUUCGGAAUUACUGGGCGUAAAGCGCACGUAGGCGGCUUGGUAAGUUAGAGGUGAAAGCCCGGAGCUCAACUCCGGAAUUGCCUUUAAGACUGCCGAGCUAGCAGGUGAGAGAGGUAAGUGGAAUUCCGAGUGUAGAGGUGAAAUUCGUAGAUAUUCGGAAGAACACCAGUGGCGAAGGCGGCUUACUGGCUCAUACUGGACGCUGAGGUGCGAAAGCAUGGGGAGCAAACAGGAUUAGAUACCCGCGUAGUCCCUGUCUCUUAUAC